GUGAGGAAUAUUGCGCAAUGGACGAAAGUCUGACGCAGCAACGCCGCGUGGGUGACGAAGGCCUUCGGGUUGUAAAGCCCUUUUCUGAGGGAAGAGAGAGGACGGUACCUCAGGAAUAAGUCUCGGCUAACUACGUGCCAGCAGCCGCGGUAAAACGUAGGAGGCGAGCGUUAUCCGGAUUUAUUGGGCGUAAAGCGCAUGCAGGUGGUUUCGUAAGUCGGAUGUGAAAGCCUCUGGCUUAACUAGAGGAGGUCGUUCGAUACUGCGGAACUGGAGGUCGGAAGAGGGAAGCGGAAUUCCCGGUGUAGUGGUGGAAUGCGUAGAUAUCGGGAGGAACACCAGUGGCGAAGGCGGCUUCCUGGUCCGUACCUGACGCUAAGAUGCGAAAGCGUGGGGAGCGAACGGGAUUAGAAACCCGGGUAGUCC
rnacentral:rRNA from 1 species